GAUGAACGCUGGCGGCGUGCUUAAUACAUGUAAGUCGAACGGAUGAUUAGCAAUAAUUAUUAGUGGCGAACGGGUGAGUAACGCGUUGGUGACCUGCCCCGAAGUGGGGGAUACCAGUUCGAAAGGACUGCUAAUACCGCAUGAGUUCGUGCGAGGUGAGACAGCACGAGGAAAGCUACGUGAGUAGCGCUUUGGGAGGGACCUGCGUCCCAUCAGCUAGUUGGUAAGGUAACGGCUUACCAAGGCGACGACGGGUAGGGGGCCUGAGAGGGUGACCCCCCACACUGGCACUGAAACACGGGCCAGACACCUACGGGUGGCAGCAGUAGGGAAUAUUGCACAAUGGGCGAAAGCCCGAUGCAGCAACGCCGCGUGCACGAUGAAGGCCUUCGGUUGUAAAGUGCUUUCUGCAGGAAGAGGAAGGACUGUACUGUAGGAAUAAGGAUCGGCUAACUACGUGCCAGCAGCCGCGGUAAAACGUAGACGUG
rnacentral:rRNA from 1 species